GCCUCUUCCGCGUCACCGUCUCCGGCUAGUGCACUAGGAGUGCUGCUGCUGCUGCUGGUUCCGCCGCCGCUGCCGCCAUUCCUGGCGGAGUCCUCCGGGUUGGGAGCCGCCGCUGCCAUUCUGCUACCAGCUCUGGAGACAUGUGCUCCGGCAGCACAUAGGAGAUAUCAUCCCAGGGGUGGCGAUACAGACCCUGCUUCAGCCUCUUCUGGUCCAGGUUCUGAGCAAGUCCACAAAGGCCACACCAAUGAAGCCAUCCACAUUCAAGAUCAGGUUGGGCUUCUAGGUACCUGUACACGACUGAGGCACCUCCUCCAGCCACCAUGGUCCAGAUUCUGCCUCGAGGAUUCAACAGAGUCAGUUUGAGACUGGCACCGCUCUUUGCAUCAAGAUCAGCGAUAAUUGGAUCGAUGAAAACCUACCCAGAGGGUUGAUCUCCAGGUAUGUGAAGAAGAGAUCCUCAUACAGAUUGAAGAGUCCAACGAUGAAGCUGGCAAGAAUCCUGCAAAAGGAUGACGAUAAAGCAGAUUUCUCCUUGUGCAUGAUUUCAAUAAUCAAUGCAAAGAUUUAUCUUUCAUUUCCUAAGCCGUUAAUUCUUCUUUUAUAACAUAAAGCAAUGUGCGAGUAUUUUUAAUCGGCUCUAUGUUCUAUAAAGAAAAACUGCAAAAGAGAUAAGAAGCUAGAGCACAAAAAGCAAGACGUUCAGCUGGCCUUGAGAACUUGCCUGAAAUUAAAACAUUGUAUGAAACAGAACUUCAGGGGCCAUAACUGGAUACAGUGUGUAAGAUUUUACAUUCUAUUAAAUUUUGUGUCUAACUGCA